rnacentral:rRNA from 1 species
UCUGUAGGUGGUUUAAUAAGUCAACUGUUAAAUCUUGAGGCUCAACCUCAAAAUCGCAGUCGAAACUAUUAGACUAGAGUAUAGUAGGGGUAAAGGGAAUUUCCAGUGGAGCGGUGAAAUGCGUAGAUAUUGGAAGGAACACCGAUGGCGAAGGCACUUUACUGGGCUAUUACUAACACUCAGAGACGAAAGCUAGGGUAGCAAAGUG